rnacentral:rRNA from 1 species
UACGGGGGGAGCAAGCGUUGUUCGGAUUUACUGGGCGUAAAGGGCGCGUAGGCGGCCUCCGCAAGUCAGUUGUGAAAUCUCCGAGCUUAACUCGGAAAGGUCAACUGAUACUGCGGGGCUAGAGUGCGGAAGGGGCAACUGGAAUUCUUGGUGUAGCGGUGAAAUGCGUAGAUAUCAGGAGGAACACCGGUGGCGAAGGCGGCAUCCUGGACCGAGAUUGACGCUGAUGAGCGAAAGCUAGGGGAGCAAACGGG